rnacentral:lncRNA from 1 species
UUUUGCAUCCUGAAAUAUCAAGAUUGAAAUCCAGUCACCAAGACAAUACCAAAAUAAAUUAGAGAAGAAGAGAAACUGCAUUUCUCAAGCUAAUGGAAGGUACCCCCGUGCUCAUAAAUAGAUGACGUUUUAGACAUGCGAAGUGUCUCAAACAUGAGAUUUGUGACUGUUUCUUUUAAUGUGAAUAUGUUAACAAAAUUCUAUAAGAAAAUGUGGACAUCUUUCCCUAAUAUAAUAAAGCACGGAUUGACUCCGUCGGGUUCGCCGUUGCGGCAAAUUUGCAGAAAGGUCCCUGCGUUUAUCGGUAUUCAACCCGCAAUUCAAAUCGAACCGGUACGAAGGGGAGAAAAACGCAGCCACGAUGUGCCUCGCGACAUCGAUGGAAAGACCAAGGGACACCAGCGGCAUCGAUGGGCGCUCGCCUGGGCGGCGGAUCUUGGCUGCUCCGCCAUGGAUCCGGUGGCGGACGGAUCGAGACGGGAGACGCGGCAACCUCCAUGGCGGGUCCCUGAAGGAAACCAGCGGUGGACGGAUGAGAGGGAGAGGCGGCGAUCUCCAUGGCGGGCUCCUUGGAGGACACUAGCAGCGGCCGGCAGAUCCGGCCAACACCGGCAGACGGAACGAGACGAAGGGGUGGUGUCUCUAUGGCGGGCUCCCUGGAGAAAACAUGUGAGAGAUUAGAGAGAGAAGGGGAAGACAGGAUAGGAGAUGGGGGCGGGAGUCGGCUUGGCCUGCUUGCGCGGUUGGAGGAGGCAGGGGGCGGCCUAGGGUGCGCGCGCACGGGCGUGAUCUGCUGCUGUGGGGGGAACUGCAGGCUAGCCUUGGAGAGUUAAAGGCCGCCGCCAUGUGCUCUGCUGUUGUGGCUGCUCCUAUGGCGAAGAAGAUGAAGAGAAAGGGGGCGAUUUGGUUUUGGGGUAUGAGAAGGGAAUAGAAAUGAGUGGUGGUGGGUAGGACGGUAUGUCUCUUAGAGAUAAGAUGGGCUUUUGUGUACUGCGGUAGCUUCACGAGGACAUGUGUACAUAUGUGUUUGUUGUCCAUAUUUGCCUCUAAUUGUUUCUCUUGACGGACUAUACGCUAGACCGUAAACGGACGUCCGUCUUGUUCGGAUUUUGUUCGUUUGCGUCUAGAAAACGGACGUCCAUACCCAGCUUUUGUUGGAGGCGUCCAACGCUGCAGACUAUCCCAAAAACUGUCCGACCACGGCCCCACCGUGUCCGCCGCGCCGGUCGCGCCCACUAUGCGCUCGAGCUUACCUGUGCACACACGCGCUCGUCCCAAAGCUGGCCCGUGCUCUCGCGCCGCUCCGUCCGCCGAGCGCAAGGCGCUGCCCCGCCCCGCAGCUGCCGCCGCAACGCCCUCCCGCUAUAGCCGUCGACCCAUGGCUCGCGCCGGCCUGCCCUGCAGCAGUCGACCCUCGGCGCUUGGGGCUCGAGCCGUCCCGCCCUGCAGCCNNN